rnacentral:misc_RNA from 1 species
GAAAUGCGAUACGUAGUGUGAAUUGCAGAAUUCCGUGAACCAUCGAAUCUUUGAACGCAUAUUGCGCUCGAUGCUUCGGCCAAGAGCAUGUCUGCCUCAGCGUCGGGUUAAUAUCACUCUCCAAAUCCUCUGGGAUCAAUCGAGUGGACCUGGCUGUUCCAGAGUUUUGUUCAAUCUCGGUUGAACUGAAGCUGGAUCAGCUGAAGAGCAGAGGUUAGCACAAGGACCCGUUAAGGGCCGCAAUUGGGUAGGCAGUUUACUGCUUCUAAUUGUUGGCUUGGGACCAUGAGCUCGACCCUCUAAUCAGGAAUUAACCCUUAUUUUCUCGACCUGAGCUCAGGCAAGAACACCCGCUGAACUUAAGC